AACGGGUGAGUAACGCGUGGGUGACCUGCCUUCGAGCGGGGGAUAACGUUCCGAAAGGGACGCUAAUACCGCAUAACAUCCUGUCUUUUAAGAGAUGGUGAUCAAAGUGACGUCGCAAGACGUCGCACUUGAAGAGGGGCCCGCGUCCGAUUAGCUAGUUGGUGAGGUAACGGCUCUCCAAGGCAACGAUCGGUAGCCGGCCUGAGAGGGCGGACGGCACACUGGGACUGAGACACGGCCCAGACUCCUACGGGAGGCAGCAGUGGGGAAUUGUUCGCAAUGGGCGCAAGCCUGACGACGCAACGCCGCGUGGAGGAUGAAGAUCUUCGGGUCGUAAACUCCUUUCGAUCGAGAAGAAUUCCUCCGGGGUGAACAAUCCCGGAGGUUGACGGUACCGAGAGAAGAAGCCCCCGGCUAACUCCGUGCCAGCCGCCGC
rnacentral:rRNA from 1 species